rnacentral:lncRNA from 1 species
UUCUUCUUCUUCUUCCCCUACUCUUCUUAAUUAAUUUUUAUUUUCUUUGCUAUCAAGUAGUUGAUUCUGCAAAAGGGUUCAAGAAGUAUGCUAUAUGUCUUUGUUGAUUAAUGUGUUGUUUGGAUUCACUUGAUCUUUGGAAACAAAAUAACAAGAGAUAAUAAUUAAGGUAGAAUAAUUUGGCCUCAUGUAGUAUUUUCACUUUAUUGUUGAUAAUUGAGCAUCUAAAUCAAUGAUCAAUACUAUGAAAGAUAAUUAAGGAUACUAGUCAAAUGAUGUCAAAAAGUUAUAAAAUUUAGUUUCCAAAUACUUUUUCUAGUGUAGAUCAAGUCUACCGGAGCCGAUCGUUGAUUUAAAAACCGUAUCAUUAAAAAACAACUUGUUAGCACGGAGGCCUCCGUACUAUCGAUAGUAUACCAAUCUAGCUCCAUAUAAUGGUACGGGCAAUAAACAGAAUUCAUUUCAACAAAUUUUAUAUAUGCUGGAAAUGAAUAGUACAAUUUUAAAGGAAAAAAUAAUUAGCAUACAAUUUUAAACUGAGUUAAUAAAGUAAUUUGAAUAGUUUCUUGAAAUUAAAAGAUCAUUUUUUUUUGAUUAAACAGGGGUAUACCCUAUUUUAACAAAGUCAGAACUGAGAGUAUAGGAGCAGUCUAGUAAGGCGAAAAAACAGAACGGCAAGAACAGCAUGGGUUGAUCGCAAUCAAGAUCUAGGAGCAGAAACCCAGAAACCAAAAAAACCAAAAACCAAAAUCAAAGCCCCAAAUCAAACCAAAACCAAACCAAAAUCAAACCAAAAACCAAAACCAAAAGAUCAUUUUUAAUAUUGAUAAAAUUAGA